rnacentral:rRNA from 1 species
GUAGCUGGUCUGAGAGGAUGAUCAGCCACAUCGGGAGUGAGACACGGCCCGAACUCCUACGGGAGGCAGCAGUGGGGAAUAUUGGACAAUGGGGGCAACCCUGAUCCAGCCAUGCCGCGUGUGUGAAGAAGGCCCUCGGGUUGUAAAGCACUUUCAGCGAGGAAGAACGCCUAGCGGUUAAUACCCGCUAGGAAAGACAUCACUCGCAGAAGAAGCACCGGCUAACUCCGUGCCAGCAGCCGCGGUAAUACGGAGGGUGCAAGCGUUAAUCGGAAUUACUGGGCGUAAAGCGCGCGUAGGUGGCUUGAUAAGCCGGUUGUGAAAGCCCCGGGCUCAACCUGGGAACGGCAUCCGGAACUGUCAAGCUAGAGUGCAGGAGAGGAAGGUAGAAUUCCCGGUGUAGCGGUGAAAUGCGUAGAGAUCGGGAGGAAUACCAGUGGCGAAGGCGGCCUUCUGGACUGACACUGACACUGAGGUGCGAAAGCGUGGGUAGCAAACAGGAUUAGAUACCCUGGUAGUCCACGCC